CUUGUUUGGUUUGGUGUAUUGGCAUAGCCAAUACACCCCUAAUCGGUGGGCCCCACCUAAUCCGGGUGUAACACGUCAUUUGGUUUGAUGUAUUGGUAAUACGCACCUAAUCCAUUACCUUCUUAAUCGGUGAAAACCACCGAUUUCUAUUCCCCCCUCUUUGCCCAGAUUAGCUACCGAUUGAGCAUCACCUCCCUGAUUUGCCCUCCCCCCAUCCCCUUGUUUCUCUUCUGUUCCUUCAUCCGAUUUCCUUCCUUAUUUCUUUGCUUUUGUUUUCUGCCGAUUUCCUCCCAGUCCAUUACGCCUCUUUGCUGCCGAUUUGUUCCCUCCGUUUCCUUUCUUUUCUUUUUCGCUCUGCCACUCUUUCGAUUGCCUUCUCAACCAGUCGACCUUCUUCUUCUCAACCAGUCUCCAGGUUACU
rnacentral:lncRNA from 1 species